rnacentral:rRNA from 1 species
UGCCAGCCGCCGCGGUAAUACGGAGGGUGCAAGCGUUGUUCGGAAUUAUUGGGCGUAAAGGGCGCGUAGGCGGGUUCUUAAGUCUGAUGUGAAAUCCCUCGGCUCAACCGAGGACGUGCAUUGGAUACUGGGAACCUUGAGUCCUGGAGAGGAAAGCGGAAUUCCAAGUGUAGAGGUGAAAUUCGUAGAUAUUUGGAGGAACACCAGUGGCGAAGGCGGCUUUCUGGACAGUGACUGACGCUGAGGCGCGAAAGCGUGGGUAGCAAACAGGAUUAGAUA